rnacentral:tRNA from 1 species
CCGCCGGUGGUGUAAUGGCGUAGAGCAUUCCCGCCCGGUUAGAGGGAGGUGCGGGUUCGAGUCCCGCCUGGCGCU